rnacentral:lncRNA from 1 species
UAAAUGAGCAGCUACACUCUCGGGUGUGCGGCUCGCUUAUCCUCAAAAAGAGAAGUUGCAGGAAUGAGGAAGGGGAAUAUUGUCAGCAACAACACAAAUUAUCUUACAAUGCCAUCACAGAUCCUCCAGCAAUAAUAAUACUCCUAAAGUUCUAGACUGAAAGGGUAACACACCAUGCCGAAACAUCACAGAUAUCUUACAAUGCCAUCACAGAUAUCCCAGUAAUAAUAAUAAUAAAGUUCUAGACUGAAAGGACAACACACUAUGCCAACAACAUCACAGAUAUCUUUCAAUGCCAUAACAGAUCAUCCAGUUAUACUACUACUAAGUUCUAGACUGAAAGGACAAUACUACUCUAGUUCUAGACUCAAAGGGCAACAUACCACACCAGCAAUUCACAUAUAUCUUACAACGCCAUCACAGAUCGUCCAGUUAUAAUACUGCUCAAGUUUUAGACUCAAAGGGUAACAUAGCAUGCCAGCAACAUCACACAUAUCCUACAAUGCAAUCACAUAUCAUCCAGUUAUACUACUACUAAGUUCUAGGUGGCAGAUCAUAGAUGGAUAUAUAUUUCAAGAGACAUACAUAACAUAGUGCUGUAAUGGAACUGAUAUCGUCUUGCUUCUCCAUCAAACAAGAGAUACAUUUCGUCUCCAUUCAACUUGCUUUAGCAACAGGCUGAUAUCCAUCUUGCUUGUUCACUCCCUCAGCAGUAGCAACAGGCUGAUAUCCAUCUUGCUUGUCCACUCCCUCAGCACUAGCAACAGGCUGAUAUCCAUCUUGCUUGUUCACUCCCUCAGCUGUAGCAACAGGCUGAUAUCCAUCUUGCUUGUCCACUCCCUCGGCAGUACCAACAGGCUGAUAUCCAUCUUGCUUGUUCACUCCCUCAGCAGUAGCAACUCUCCGCAGUCUCUCUUGUAUUACUUGCCUCUCCAGCCUCUCUUGUAUCAUGGGCACACUCUCAGCAGUAACAAGAUAGUCACCAUACCUUACGAUUUCAGGACGGGAAAUCAAGGCAUAAUAAGUGAGCCCAGAAAUAACAAGAAUACCCGCCGACCUAGUGAAGUCGGUCACCUUCUUGGUUCUACA